AGCGGCGACGGUAGUAACACGUGGCAACCUGCCCUUGAGCCGGGAUAACAUUUGGAAACAGAUGCUAAUACCGCAUAAUAAUCAAAGCCACAUGGUUUUGAUUUUCAAAGAUGGCUUCGGCUAUCACUCCAGGAUGGCCGCGGUGCAUUAGCUAGUUGGUAAGGUAACGGCUUACCAAGGCGAUGAUGCAUAGCCGAGUUGAGAGACUGAUCGGCCACAAUGGAACUGAGACACGGUCCAUACUCC
rnacentral:rRNA from 1 species